AGGGAAGUUGACACAAAACUACAAAUAAACCCAAAUUAUGCACGCCAUCAACUUCAAAUUUGUUCUUUCAUCUUCUUUUAACUUGUUAGUUAUCUGACAAAUAUGGAUCCGCCAUGGUCACCUACACCACCACCACCGCCAUCCACUUUAGAUGCACCGUUUCUUACAUCGGCACCACGCCAUGAACAAUCUUGUUGCGGAUUCUUGCCUUUAUGCUUGUGGUUCUGUUGCUGCUGCGGUAUAUUUAGAAGUUUCCCGCCGUUGUUUGAACGGCCAGCACCCCCUACUCUUUUUUGAACCAGCUUACCGUACUCCAAUUUAAUUUAGGUUCUCUUUGUUGCUUGGAGUUAGUUUCAGAAAAUCUAUAAGCCUACUUUAGUGGGGAUAUACUUUUAGCAUGUUCUAAAAGAAUCAGAAAAAUGUACUCUACUUCGUGUUGUAUUGGCUAGUCCAUGAUGGGAAUUGUAAUUUUUUCUUCUGUAAAAAAAUGAAUAAUCUGACUUAUUUAUUUAUUUUGGGCCA